UCCCGGCUUCAGGCUGGCCCUGGCCGAUGGCUGGUUUGGGGGCUUUUCUGUGCUCUGAGCACAUCUAAACAUUUGGAGCAAAACAAGAAAGUGAACAAUAGACGUUUGUGGGUUAGAGGACAGGGCCGACUUCCCCCUGGGACUCAGCACUGUUCAUAAAGCGCCCCAGCUGCACUCUCACGCUGGGGAUGUCACUGGGGCCUCCUUGAAUCACAGCCUUGUCCUCGCUGGGGGCCGGCGACUGGCUCCUUUUAUAUCUCGUUGGGGGAUGCAAAUGCCGGUGGGGCAGCCGGCUGCUCAGGGGGAAGGCAUGUUUUCCUGCCUGAAUUUUGGGAAAUCACACAGAAAAGACGCAUCCGAGCCUGACAUUGUAGCUCUGCCAAGUCCUCCCCUGACAGACGUGUUCUGAUCAGAGCUGUUUGUCCCACAGGAAAAGAAUCAGCUUUCUAUCAAGUGGACUCUGGGCACCGCCCCAGAGAGCUCAAGCUCCCAAGGACCUGGAGACUGACCCAGUCAUGCCAGCUGAGGCCCAGUCAGGCUAAAUCCCCCGAUCCAGCGCUCCUGCGUCUACCCCUAGGACCCCCAGACAACUGAGAGGGGCUAACAUGGAGUGUCCCCGCCUGGAUGGCAUCUCUGGAAAAGGCUGGAGUGUUUCUAAAGAGGCUGUUCAGACAUCACAUCACAGUCCCAGACGGCCGAGAGGUUCUUGCACUCACUUGGCUGCCCUCCCUGGGAAAUGCUUUGGAUCAGACAGCACUUCUGGGUUGUUUUUGCCUGAGGAAAGUGGUAAGAAUUCAGCAAGAAUCCCAUGGUUGAAGGAAAAGUCAGUGGAUUUACUUAGCAAAAGUAUUUGCAGAGAACCGUCCAGGAGGUGAGCAGGGUGGCGCUGCAGGCCCGGGACUAAAGACACUGGUGUGGGCAAGAAGCCUCCAGAUGAGAGCACCUUGGGAGCAGACCAAGAAGAAUCUAGAGACAAAUGGCUUGGCUUCUAGAGAAUAAAGAAAGGGGCUUUUUUAGUGCCUAAGAAGUUCAAAAUGGCCUUGCUAGGUCACGCCCGCAAGCUCUGAUAGACAGUCUCGUGCUACAGAGUUCUUCUGGAGGGUCUCCCGCGCCCCGUGUCCCUUGGUCAUUUAGCAGACGCUUCCUGAGGGCCGCCAAGCUCCUUCAGGCAAGCCAGUUGUGGUUCCACGGUGUGGAGGGUGGGCAGAGAGUGUUCGGUGGCAGGGCAGAAGCGUGAGCCUGGGUUCACAGACGCCAGAGCCGAGUCCUCAGGAAGGAGCCAGGAGUUGGCCGGGCAGUCGGAGAGGAAGGACAGCUAAUCCAGGCAGAGCCCAGAGGGAAAGCAUGCCCCCUCCCCACCCCUAGAGACAGCUGGGACAAUGGCUUAUGAGGGGAGCGGGUGCCCAAAGCAGAGUAAGGCCAGCCCUGCAUUCUUUGCUUCGACUCUCACGGUUUUCUGUCAGCCAGGCGCGGGCGGGCUGUGAAAACUUCCUGGCACAAGGGCCUCUGUUGAGUUAAGUUCCAUCCCUUUUGGCACACUGAUUAAAGGCCUCAUCCCUGGCUUUGGUGCGGGGUGACCCCCACAAAGACUGUGCCUAUAGGACACACUCUCCUUUCAUACCUAAAGCUUUCCUGAAAAUUUGCCGGUCUGACAUGCAAGAGGCAAAGCGAGCAUUUGAAAGCUAUAAGGGAGGGUUCCGUUCCCAGGGGGCCGAACAAUAUUAUCACUGUAUUUUCUUGAUUUCCAGUCUCGCAGCAUCACCCUCACCCUUGCUCUGAAACACUGUCAUUAAAUCAAUGCAGCUUUAGAACUGGGGGAACAUGGGAAAUUCCCAAUCACACCUCACCUUUCGAUCCAAUCUUUGACCAUGUUAGGUACGGAAUGUCCUAUAUGCUCUCUAAUUUAUUAUUCUCCUUCACAAUUGAACACACAGGCGACUGGCUGAAAUCCAGGGAACAUUUGAUGGAGGCCACGUAUUCUUGUGGCGCGCCUAAUGAUUUCCAUCUCUGUCUCAAUUAUAUCAAGUUUAGGAGACCUGCCUUUCUUAUCACCAGCAUCAGCGCUUCAUUUUUCCAUUUUCCACUUGUUCUUAUAAAAUAACAAGGUCAAAAUGCAGUAACAUAUUCAAAUACUCGCACAAACACUGCUGAACCGUCAAAAGGUGAUGCUGCUGAAACCAAACCCUUGGCCUCCAGGCAGCAUUCCCACGUGAUGGCUUGAAAUGUGAGUUCAUCUGCCAACGUGGGAGAGCUUCAAAUCAGUGGUUGGCUGGUGCAAGGGGUUGGGGUGCUGUAUAUAGGUCAGUGUAGAAUGUAUGAAAAAGAAGGGUGGGCCAGAGUGAAAGGUACAAGCGGACGGUCGUCUACAGUGAUCCCAUCCUCUGGCGCUCAGUGGGUAUAAAUCCUGCUACCUCCUGCCCAGACGUACAGGCACCGCCACCCAAUGGGACUGUUGCUGAUGGCUCUUCUCCAAGCAGAUUGUAUUGUAUCACAGACAUGCUCCGGUACACCUUCCAACAUCUCUGAGUCUGCAGAGCUGUGUGAAUACCAAGAACCUUUCCUCAAAGCGCCUGGCUCUUGAAUCAGAAUCCUUUAUGUGGGAAGGAUUUGUGAGGAAGUGCUUCAUGACCAGGUGGUCACAAGAAAGCGGAGAUUUCCAUGUGAGGUCAUCUUGGCAAGAAGCUCCCUCACCAUCCUUGACUUCCGGGUCUCCAGGGCAACCACUGCUGGGGUGUCAUAGGCACCAGAGCGUGUCCCUUGAAGUCCACGCUGGGCAGAUAAGCAAUUUUUUGGCAACUGUCAUGUAACAAAUUCAUUCUCAAAUGAGGAUGAUGUAUAUGGUUUUUUUCCCACUCUCUUCCACAUUCUGGCCCAGAAUUCUGGGCAUAGGACAUAGUCUAAGAAUGUACCUUGGGAUGCGAGUUAAGAGAAUAAUGUGAGGAAGGACUUGGAGAAAGAAGUACUUCUAAUCUGAAACUAAUGAUGUACUAUAUGUUGGCUAAUUGAAUUUAAAUUUUUAAAAAAGUACAAAAAAAAGUACCUUCUUCUGGACAGAGGGACAAAGUAGUUUUCCUUUUGGCUUCCCCAGUCCAUAGCUUAUUUCCUCUCCCUCUCCACGCUCAAUAAAGGAAGUUGUGGUAGACAGUCUCCAAAUUGGUAGCCCCCAGUCUUUCCCUCCUGAUGUUUAUGUGCUGCUUCUCACCUCUCCAAACUGGAAUAGCCAUAGUGACUGGCUUGACCAACAGAGUACAGUAGGUUACAUUCUGGAACUUCCAAGGUUUGGUUAUCAGAAGCUUUGUGAUAUCUGUCUGGGUCUUUUAGAAGCUUUAGUCCUGGGACACUUGCUCUAAAAACCAGCUACCAUCCAGUAAGAAGUCCAAGCCACACAAAGAGGCUGGAAAUAGGUGCUCUCGUCAAGAACCCCAGCUGAGCUCUCCACCAAGAUUCACAUCCCUGCCACCUUGUGAAUGAAUGGCAUCCACUUGGCUGUGCAGCUCAGUAGAACUUUGCGGGCACUCCAGCCCUAGCGACCGGGUGACUGUAACUGCAAGAGAUCCUGAGUGAGAACCAGCUAGCUGAGCCCGGUCAGCACAGGUAUAAGAGAGAAUAGUGAGUUGUUUUAAGGUACUACGUUUUAGGGCGUUCUGUUAUGUAGCAAUAAGUAAUUGAACAGGAAUGCAAUGCUGGGUGGGGAGUGAAAGGAGAGGAGAGGAACUUCUGACAACGUAGUCACUUUGAGGGGCUCUAUUUCUCUUUCUCUCCCCCUCGGUACCCCCAACACCAGCUGUUCUUUCUGAGCUGUGCCCGGCCCACAGCCCACAAACCUUAUGCUGCUGCUGAUUGUUGCGUGGGUACUCAGCUCCUCCGUGGGAUGGGGGACACCCUGAGGGUAGGGCCCUGUCUUAUUUGAUUCUUAUCCUCCCUGGUACUGACAGAUUCAUCAGGCUGCUCUAGUGGAUACACAUGGAGAAUAACUGCUGGAACAGGAUUUCAAGGUGCUUAAGUGACUUGGCUUCUGAUCUUUGACAUUUAAUACCUGAUAUCUUAUGUCCCUGCUGCCUGGGCCCACCUAGGGGCUAGCCACACCGUGGGGCAGUCUGAACCCCACCAAC